AUGAACAUUGAGAUGUCCUGUGCUAGCUCCCCAAGCUGGCAUAAGAUCAGAUUUUUUUUUUUUGCCCAGAAUUGUGGGACACGAUGGGAACCAGCAAGUCUGCACAGGAUCUUGAAGAUGCACUCAGCGUGAAAGGAGAGAAUUCCUGCAGGAAGCUGUGUGUCUCUGGUUCUGGCUAAUGUCGGAGUUUGGUUCCUAGAUGAGAUGAACCGCUAACUGGGGACAUGGCGAAGUGUGGAGAUACUCUACCCUUCCUCCACACCAGUAACCGAAUGUUGCAACACCUGUGGGAGACUUCAGGUUCAAGUUGCUUCUCUACUUCCUGGGAUCUGAACUCCAACAAGAGCGUUUUUAAUACAAGUCUCCAGGAUCUUUUGGGAAAAGGCGAGGUCAGUCUUCAUUUCUUGCACUGAAAUGGCUUCAAUUUGUCUAAAAGCAGCUCACGGAAGAUAAUUUUUAGCUCUCUCAGAUUCCUGGAAGAGCAGAAGAAUUACUGGCCCUUCACUUCACUGCUGGAAGCCAAAAUAAUCAUACUGUUAACCCUCAUCACCUUCACCCACCCAACAGAGUCAACAAAGCAAUACUAGGUGAAUCUUCCAGCUGUGUGGACCCAAUAUCAUUACUUUUGAAUGUUCACUGUCCUAACAUUUAAAAAUUUUUUUCAUUAUUUCCAUACCUACUGAA